CAUUGGAGAAGGCGCUUAGGCAAAUCCGGGCGCAGGAUUCAAGGGUGUGGCGCGAGCUCCUUCGGGAGCGAAGCAAUUGGAAGUGGUUCCAAGAAAAGCCUCUAAGCUUCAGUCUAACGAUGACCGUACCGCAAACCGACACAGGUGGGCGAGAUGAGUAUUCUAAGGCGCUUGAGAGAACUCGGGAGAAGGAACUCGGCAAAUUGGUACCGUAACUUCGGGAUAAGGUACGCCCUGGUAGCUUGACUGGCCUGCGCCAGAAGGGUGAAGGGGUUGCAAUAAACUGGUGGCUGCGACUGUUUAAUAAAAACACAGCACUCUGCAAACACGAAAGUGGACGUAUAGGGUGUGACGCCUGCCCGGUGCCGGAAGAUUAAAUGAUGGGGUGCAAGCUCUUGAUUGAAGUCCCGGUAAACGGCGGCCGUAACUAUAACGGUCCUAAGGUAGCGAAAUUCCUUGUCGGGUAAGUUCCGACCUGCACGAAUGGCGUAACGAUGGCCACACUGUCUCCUCCCGAGACUCAGCGAAGUUGAAGUGUUUGUGAUGAUGCAAUCUACCCGCGGCUAGACGGAAAGACCCCAUGAACCUUUACUGUAGCUUUGCAUUGGACUUUGAACCGAUCUGUGUAGGAUAGGUGGGAGGCUAUGAAACCGGAACGCUAGUUUCGGUGGAGCCGUCCUUGAAAUACCACCCUGGUUUGUUUGAGGUUCUAACCUUGGCCCGUGAUCCGGGUCGGGGACAGUGCAUGGUAGGCAGUUUGACUGGGGCGGUCUCCUCCCAAAGCGUAACGGAGGAGUACGAAGGUACGCUAGGUACGGUCGGAAAUCGUGCUGAUAGUGCAAUGGCAUAAGCGUGCUUAACUGCGAGACCGACAAGUCGAGCAGGUGCGAAAGCAGGUCAUAGUGAUCCGGUGGUUCUGUAUGGAAGGGCCAUCGCUCAACGGAUAAAAGGUACUCUGGGGAUAACAGGCUGAUACCGCCCAAGAGUUCAUAUCGACGGCGGUGUUUGGCACCUCGAUGUCGGCUCAUCUCAUCCUGGGGCUGUAGCCGGUCCCAAGGGUAUGGCUGUUCGCCAUUUAAAGAGGUACGUGAGCUGGGUUUAAAACGUCGUGAGACAGUUUGGUCCCUAUCUGCCGUGGGCGUUGGAAGUUUGAAGGGGGCUGCUCCUAGUACGAGAGGACCGGAGUGGACGAACCUCUGGUGUACCGGUUGUGACGCCAGUCGCAUCGCCGGGUAGCUAUGUUCGGAAGAGAUAACCGCUGAAAGCAUCUAAGCGGGAAACUCGCCUUAAGAUGAGACUUCCCCGGGGACUUGAUCCCCUUGAAGGGUCGUUCGAGACC
rnacentral:rRNA from 1 species